rnacentral:rRNA from 1 species
CAGUAGCCGCGGUAAUGCGUAGGUGGCAAGCGUUGUCCGGAAUUAUUGGGCGUAAAGCGCGCGCAGGCGGCCUCUUAAGUCUGAUGUGAAAGCCCCCGGCUCAACCGGGGAGGGCCAUUGGAAACUGGGAGGCUUGAGUAUAGGAGAGAAGAGUGGAAUUCCACGUGUAGCGGUGAAAUGCGUAGAGAUGUGGAGGAACACCAGUGGCGAAGGCGACUCUUUGGCCUAUAACUGACGCUGAGGCGCGAAAGCGUGGGGAGCAAACAGGAUUAGAUACCCCUGUAGUCCCUGUCUCUUAUAC